rnacentral:rRNA from 1 species
UACGGAGGGUGCAAGCAUUGAUCGGAAUUACUGGGCGUAAAGGGCGCGUAGGCGGUUAGAAAAGUCAGAUGUGAAAUUCCGGGGCUCAACCCCGGAGCUGCAUCCGAAACUUUCUAGCUAGAGUUCAGUUAGGGAAAACGGAAUUCCACAUGUAGCGGUGAAAUGCGUAGAUAUGUGGAGGAACACCGGUGGUGAAGACGGUUUUCUGGGCUGAAACUGACGCUGAGGCGCGAAAGCAAGGGGAGCAAACAGG